rnacentral:rRNA from 1 species
UACAGAGGGGGCAAGCGUUAUUCGGAAUUAUUGGGCGUAAAGGGCGCGUAGGCGGCUCAUGAAGGCUGUGGUGAAAGUCCGGGGCUCAACCUCGGAUCGGCCGUGGCGACUCGUGGGCUGGAGCACUGUAGAGGCGGGUGGAAUUCCGGGUGUAGCGGUGGAAUGCGUAGAGAUCCGGAAGAACACCAGUGGCGAAGGCGGCCCGCUGGGCAGUGGCUGACGCUGAAGCGCGACAGCGUGGGGAGCAAACAGG